rnacentral:ncRNA from 2 species
AGGUGUCUUCAAGGUCGGGUGUAAUUCCCAACCGGCGGUAUAGCCCGCAACCCGCGUCAACGGUGGAUCUGGUUAAAUUCCAGGGCCGACAGUAUAGUCUGGUAUAUAGAAGAUUUCU